rnacentral:rRNA from 1 species
GACGAACGCUGGCGGCGUGCUUAACACAUGCAAGUCGAACGGUGAAGCGCCUUCCUUUUUGGUGGGUGUGGAUGAGUGGCGAACGGGUGAGUAACACGUGAGUAACCUGGCCCCUUCUUCUGGAUAACCGCAUGAAAGUGUGGCUAAUACGGGAUAUUCUGGGUCUGUCGCAUGAUGGGUCUGGGAAAGAUAUUGUUUCGGUGGGGGAUGGGCUCGCGGCCUAUCAGCUUGUUGGUGGGGUGAUGGCCUACCAAGGCGGUGACGGGUAGCCGGCCUGAGAGGGUGGACGGUCACACUGGGACUGAGACACGGCCCAGACUCCUACGGGAGGCAGCAGUGGGGAAUAUUGCACAAUGGGCGCAAGCCUGAUGCAGCGACGCCGCGUGAGGGAUGGAGGCCUUCGGGUUGUGAACCUCUUUCGCCAGUGAAGCAGGCCUGCCUCGUUUGUGGGUGGGUUGACGGUAGCUGGAUAAGAAGCGCCGGCUAACUACGUG